CCCCCCCAAAAAAAAAAAAACUUUGUGCUUUCAUGCUUUCCAAAUGCCCCAUGCAAAAGCAUACGAUAAUUCUGAUACAUGAUCUAUCCAUUUCCUCUUGCAUAGUUGGCCGAGUAACACUUGAGUCAAAGAAGAAAAUGAGAUGAAAGCAUCCAAUUAAGAGUUUUAAUAAGAGUCCACAGCACUAUAUGGUUAAUGAGCAUUGGCAAAGAAUAGUGCAAUGGAUCCUUAACAACCAAUGUAGAGUUUGAGGUCC
rnacentral:lncRNA from 1 species